rfam:Salmo salar isolate Sally breed double haploid chromosome ssa17, whole genome shotgun sequence.
UAGCUCAGUUGGUAGAGCAUGGUGUUUGCAACGCCAGGGUUGUGGGUUCGAUUCCAAC